CUGGCAGCUGAUCAGAUGGUGCCCACCCAGAUUGAGGAUGGGUCUGUCUUUCCCAGCCCACCGGAUGAUAAAACCAAGACUUGGAGAGAGUUUGAGUUAUACCUACCCAUGUUCAUGUAGCCGUGUUUGACCAUCACUGAAAUAUUGACCAUUGGAAGCUUUGAAUUUCCUGGAAGAGACAAAUCCUGGGGCCAAGCUUGCAACUACAUUUUUAGAUUCCUAUGCCAACUAGUUGAAGAGUAGUUUCAGCCAAUGGAAAUGGAUUGGAAGCAGUCUGGAGGGUGGAAAGAAGAGACA